AUGGUGGCUAGUUUUACCUCAUACUCUUAUCCCUUGGUCAGGCAGCGCUCGAUCCAGAAGCACGACACGCAGCGGCAACGGAGUUCUUCACCAAUCCUUGCGCAGGUCGACGCCGGUGGAGUCCCUCUCCAAUUCGAAGCCACGCCUCCCUCUCUCUCCUGCAGAUCGAAUCCAGCACCGCCGCCGUCGCCGGCCAGCUCAUGGAGUCCAGCCACCGCCGCCCCAGAUGUUGGUUGCUGCUCCCCUCCUUUCCCCUCCUCCUUUGCCGUCGCCCCAGAUGCCGAGUCCCGAUCGAGGCCGCACUCCUCGGCUCGAGGUCCUCAGGCUGAGGCCGGAUCGAGGCCAUGGUCGUCGAGGCCGGCCAGGCGGGGGAGCCCGUCCCGCGUGAACCCAGAGCUGGCGGUGGUGACGGGUUCGCCCGCGAAGCGCUUGGUCACGGCAGCCUGCGCCCGAGCGAUGGGAAAGCGGGGAGGAGGAAGAGGCGACGCGGUGGAAGAGUAG
rnacentral:rRNA from 1 species